rnacentral:misc_RNA from 1 species
UGUUCGAGCGUCAUUGCAACCCUCAAGCACUGCUUGGCAUUGGAUGCUACCUCUGGUACACCUAAAAAAUAUUGGCAGUGGCAUUCAGCUUCUAGUGUAGUAAUUUUCUCGCUUAGGAGUUGUGAAUGUCCAACUGCCAGAACCCUCCAAUUUAUCACAAGGUUGACCUCGGAUCAGGUAGGGAUACCCGCUGAACUUAA